UACGUAGGUGGCAAGCGUUGUCCGGAUUUACUGGGCGUAAAGAGCUCGUAGGCGGUGUGUCGCGUCGGCCGUGAAAACCUGCAGCUUAACUGUGGGCUUGCGGUCGAUACGGGCAUCACUGGAGUUCGGCAGGGGAGACUGGAAUUCCUGGUGUAGCGGUGAAAUGCGCAGAUAUCAGGAGGAACACCGGUGGCGAAGGCGGGUCUCUGGGCCGAUACUGACGCUGAGGAGCGAAAGCGUGGGGAGCGAACCGG
rnacentral:rRNA from 1 species